rnacentral:rRNA from 1 species
CGGGAAGAGCUCAAAUUUGAAAUCUGGCAGUCUUCGAUUGUCCGAGUUGUAAUCUAUAGAGGCGUUUUCCGUGCCGGACCGUGUCCAAGUCUCCUGGAAAGGAGUAUCAAAGAGGGUGAUAAUCCCGUACUUAACACGACCACCGGUGCUCUGUGAUACGUCUUCUACGAGUCGAGUUGUUUGGGAAUGCAGCUCAAAAUGGGUGGUGAAUUCCAUCUAAAGCUAAAUAUUGGCGAGAGACCGAUAGCGAACAAGUACCGUGAGGGAAAGAUGAAAAGCACUUUGGAAAGAGAGUUAAACAGUACGUGAAAUUGUUGAAAGGGAAACGAUUGAAGUCAGUCGUGUUCUUUGGAUUCAGCCAGUUCUGCUGGUCUACUUCCUUGGAACGGGUCAACAUCAGUUUUGUCCGGUGGAUAAAGGUAGUAGGAAUGUGACUUCUCCGGAAGUGUUAUAGCCUAUUAUCACAUACACUGGGUGAGACUGAGGACUGCAGCUCGCCUUUAUGGCCGGCCUUCGGGCACGUUCGAGCUUAGGAUGUUGACAUAAUGGCUUUAAACGACCCGUCU